rnacentral:rRNA from 1 species
UUUAUGGAGAGUUUGAUCCUGGCUCAGGAUGAACGCUGGCGGCGUGCCUAAUACAUGCAAGUCGAGCGAACGGACGAGAAGCUUGCUUCUCUGAUGUUAGCGGCGGACGGGUGAGUAACACGUGGAUAACCUACCUAUAAGACUGGGAUAACUUCGGGAAACCGGAGCUAAUACCGGAUAAUAUUUUGAACCGCAUGGUUCAAAAGUGAAAGACGGUCUUGCUGUCACUUAUAGAUGGAUCCGCGCUGCAUUAGCUAGUUGGUAAGGUAACGGCUUACCAAGGCAACGAUGCAUAGCCGACCUGAGAGGGUGAUCGGCCACACUGGAACUGAGACACGGUCCAGACUCCUACGGGAGGCAGCAGUAGGGAAUCUUCCGCAAUGGGCGAAAGCCUGACGGAGCAACGCCGCGUGAGUGAUGAAGGUCUUCGGAUCGUAAAACUCUGUUAUUAGGGAAGAACAUAUGUGUAAGUAACUGUGCACAUCUUGACGGUACCUAAUCAGAAAGCCACGGCUAACUACGUGCCAGCAGCCGCGGUAAUACGUAGGUGGCAAGCGUUAUCCGGAAUUAUUGGGCGUAAAGCGCGCGUAGGCGGUUUUUUAAGUCUGAUGUGAAAGCCCACGGCUCAACCGUGGA